AUCCUGGCUCAGGAUGAACGCUGGCGGCGUGCCUAAUACAUGCAAGUCGAGCGAACGGACGAGAAGCUUGCUUCUCUGAUGUUAGCGGCGGACGGGUGAGUAACACGUGGAUAACCUACCUAUAAGACUGGGAUAACUUCGGGAAACCGGAGCUAAUACCGGAUAAUAUUUUGAACCGCAUGGUUCAAAAGUGAAAGACGGUCUUGCUGUCACUUAUAGAUGGAUCCGCGCUGCAUUAGCUAGUUGGUAAGGUAACGGCUUACCAAGGCAACGAUGCAUAGCCGACCUGAGAGGGUGAUCGGCCACACUGGAACUGAGACACGGUCCAGACUCCUACGGGAGGCAGCAGUAGGGAAUCUUCCGCAAUGGGCGAAAGCCUGACGGAGCAACGCCGCGUGAGUGAUGAAGGUCUUCGGAUCGUAAAACUCUGUUAUUAGGGAAGAACAUAUGUGUAAGUAACUGUGCACAUCUUGACGGUACCUAAUCAGAAAGCCACGGCUAACUACGUGCCAGCAGCCGCGGUAAUACGUAGGUGGCAAGCGUUAUCCGGAAUUAUUGGGCGUAAAGCGCGCGUAGGCGGUUUUUUAAGUCUGAUGUGAAAGCCCACGGCUCAACCGUGGAGGGUCAUUGGAAACUGGAAAACUUGAGUGCAGAAGAGGAAAGUGGAAUUCCAUGUGUAGCGGUGAAAUGCGCAGAGAUAUGGAGGAACACCAGUGGCGAAGGCGACUUUCUGGUCUGUAACUGACGCUGAUGUGCGAAAGCGUGGGGAUCAAACAGGAUUAGAUACCCUGGUAGUCCACGCCGUAAACGAUGAGUGCUAAGUGUUAGGGGGUUUCCGCCCCUUAGUGCUGCAGCUAACGCAUUAAGCACUCCGCCUGGGGAGUACGACCGCAAGGUUGAAACUCAAAGGAAUUGACGGGGACCCGCACAAGCGGUGGAGCAUGUGGUUUAAUUCGAAGCAACGCGAAGAACCUUACCAAAUCUUGACAUCCUU
rnacentral:rRNA from 1 species